rnacentral:rRNA from 1 species
GAUUAAGUUAUUAAGGGCGCACGGUGGAUGCCUUGGCACUAGAAGCCGAUGAAGGACGUUACUAACGACGAUAUGCUUUGGGGAGCUGUAAGUAAGCUUUGAUCCAGAGAUUUCCGAAUGGGGAAACCCAGCAUGAGUUAUGUCAUGUUAUCGAUAUGUGAAUACAUAGCAUAUCAGAAGGCACACCCGGAGAACUGAAACAUCUUAGUACCCGGAGGAAGAGAAAGAAAAUUCGAUUCCCUUAGUAGCGGCGAGCGAAACGGGAAGAGCCCAAACCAACAAGCUUGCUUGUUGGGGUUGUAGGACACUCUAUACGGAGUUACAAAGGACGACAUUAGACGAAUCAUCUGGAAAGAUGAAUCAAAGAAGGUAAUAAUCCUGUAGUCGAAAAUGUUGUCUCUCUUGAGUGGAUCCUGAGUACGACGGAGCACGUGAAAUUCCGUCGGAAUCUGGGAGGACCAUCUCCUAAGGCUAAAUACUCUCUAGUGACCGAUAGUGAACCAGUACCGUGAGGGAAAGGUGAAAAGCACCCCGGAAGGGGAGUGAAAUAGAACCUGAAACCGUGUGCUUACAAGUAGUCAGAGCCCGUUAAUGGGUGAUGGCGUGCCUUUUGUAGAAUGAACCGGCGAGUUACGAUUUGAUGCAAGGUUAAGCAGUAAAUGUGGAGCCGUAGCGAAAGCGAGUCUGAAUAGGGCGUUUAGUAUUUGGUCGUAGACCCGAAACCAGGUGAUCUACCCUUGGUCAGGUUGAAGUUCAGGUAACACUGAAUGGAGGACCGAACCGACUUACGUUGAAAAGUGAGCGGAUGAACUGAGGGUAGCGGAGAAAUUCCAAUCGAACCUGGAGAUAGCUGGUUCUCUCCGAAAUAGCUUUAGGGCUAGCCUCAAGUGAUGAUUAUUGGAGGUAGAGCACUGUUUGGACGAGGGGCCCUCUCGGGUUACCGAAUUCAGACAAACUCCGAAUGCCAAUUAAUUUAACUUGGGAGUCAGAACAUGGGUGAUAAGGUCCGUGUUCGAAAGGGAAACAGCCCAGACCACCAGCUAAGGUCCCAAAAUAUAUGUUAAGUGGAAAAGGAUGUGGCGUUGCCCAGACAACUAGGAUGUUGGCUUAGAAGCAGCCAUCAUUUAAAGAGUGCGUAAUAGCUCACUAGUCGAGUGACACUGCGCCGAAAAUGUACCGGGGCUAAACAUAUUACCGAAGCUGUGGAUUGUCCUUUGGACAAUGGUAGGAGAGCGUUCUAAGGGCGUUGAAGCAUGAUCGUAAGGACAUGUGGAGCGCUUAGAAGUGAGAAUGCCGGUGUGAGUAGCGAAAGACGGGUGAGAAUCCCGUCCACCGAUUGACUAAGGUUUCCAGAGGAAGGCUCGUCCGCUCUGGGUUAGUCGGGUCCUAAGCUGAGGCCGACAGGCGUAGGCGAUGGAUAACAGGUUGAUAUUCCUGUACCACCUAUAAUCGUUUUAAUCGAUGGGGGGACGCAGUAGGAUAGGCGAAGCGUGCGAUUGGAUUGCACGUCUAAGCAGUAAGGCUGAGUAUUAGGCAAAUCCGGUACUCGUUAAGGCUGAGCUGUGAUGGGGAGAAGACAUUGUGUCUUCGAGUCGUUGAUUUCACACUGCCGAGAAAAGCCUCUAGAUAGAAAAUAGGUGCCCGUACCGCAAACCGACACAGGUAGUCAAGAUGAGAAUUCUAAGGUGAGCGAGCGAACUCUCGUUAAGGAACUCGGCAAAAUGACCCCGUAACUUCGGGAGAAGGGGUGCUCUUUAGGGUUAACGCCCAGAAGAGCCGCAGUGAAUAGGCCCAAGCGACUGUUUAUCAAAAACACAGGUCUCUGCUAAACCGUAAGGUGAUGUAUAGGGGCUGACGCCUGCCCGGUGCUGGAAGGUUAAGAGGAGUGGUUAGCUUCUGCGAAGCUACGAAUCGAAGCCCCAGUAAACGGCGGCCGUAACUAUAACGGUCCUAAGGUAGCGAAAUUCCUUGUCGGGUAAGUUCCGACCCGCACGAAAGGCGUAACGAUUUGGGCACUGUCUCAACGAGAGACUCGGUGAAAUCAUAGUACCUGUGAAGAUGCAGGUUACCCGCGACAGGACGGAAAGACCCCGUGGAGCUUUACUGUAGCCUGAUAUUGAAAUUCGGCACAGCUUGUACAGGAUAGGUAGGAGCCUUUGAAACGUGAGCGCUAGCUUACGUGGAGGCGCUGGUGGGAUACUACCCUAGCUGUGUUGGCUUUCUAACCCGCACCACUUAUCGUGGUGGGAGACAGUGUCAGGCGGGCAGUUUGACUGGGGCGGUCGCCUCCUAAAAGGUAACGGAGGCGCUCAAAGGUUCCCUCAGAAUGGUUGGAAAUCAUUCAUAGAGUGUAAAGGCAUAAGGGAGCUUGACUGCGAGACCUACAAGUCGAGCAGGGUCGAAAGACGGACUUAGUGAUCCGGUGGUUCCGCAUGGAAGGGCCAUCGCUCAACGGAUAAAAGCUACCCCGGGGAUAACAGGCUUAUCUCCCCCAAGAGUUCACAUCGACGGGGAGGUUUGGCACCUCGAUGUCGGCUCAUCGCAUCCUGGGGCUGUAGUCGGUCCCAAGGGUUGGGCUGUUCGCCCAUUAAAGCGGUACGCGAGCUGGGUUCAGAACGUCGUGAGACAGUUCGGUCCCUAUCCGUCGUGGGCGUAGGAAAUUUGAGAGGAGCUGUCCUUAGUACGAGAGGACCGGGAUGGACAUACCUCUGGUGUACCAGUUGUCGUGCCAACGGCAUAGCUGGGUAGCUAUGUGUGGACGGGAUAAGUGCUGAAAGCAUCUAAGCAUGAAGCCCCCCUCAAGAUGAGAUUUCCCAACUUCGGUUAUAAGAUCCCUCAAAGAUGAUGAGGUUAAUAGGUUCGAGGUGGAAGCAUGGUGACAUGUGGAGCUGACGAAUACUAAUCGAUCGAAGACUUAAUCAA